rnacentral:lncRNA from 1 species
UUUACCCAUUUUACGAUUUAGUCCUUUUUACUUAAUUAAUCAUGUAAACAUCAAAAUUUCUUAACGAAAUUUUAAUACGAUCUUAAUAUAAUCUUGAAGAUAUUAAAAUAAUAAUAUAAUAAUAACUCGCUCAUCAAAAUUGUGGUAUCGAAACCACUAUUUUCGAUAUCAUUAAAAACGAGGUUGUAAUAAUCCAAAUUUUCCCGGCCCACAUGCAUUUCAAAAAAUAAAAAUAAAAAUAAAUAAAUAAAGUCCAAAUUACAACAAACAGCAGGCCUAAAACUAAUGCCCAAAUCCCUAGCCCGAUUACAAAAGCCCAAAACCCAACACAGAAGCCCAAAGCCCAAC